CUUAAAAAAAAAAAAAAAAAAAAAAAGAACCUUGUUAAUAUUUUUACUUAGACCGAGUUAGCUUUUGCGUAGAUUGUAAGCCACUCUUACUCUGUGGAUUUUAUAUAUAUUUUGCUCUCACUCUGAAACAGAAAAGGAAUAUGGUUGUACAACUGAGACAGAAAUUUCAGAGUCUCUUUUUCCUGUUCCCAUCACAAGAAAUGCACCUUCCCAACACAAAAAAUGUACCCAGUUACAAAAAUAUGUACCAGUUCGUCUCAAAACCGAUUCCAACACCUAAUACUCACCACUCUCUCCUCCUCAUCAGAAGGCUCUCUCAUUCUGCCACUGUUUAUGCAUCUUUUCCUUGAUCAAUCAACCCACCACUCUCUUCUCUCUCUCUCUAAGCCAUUGUUCAUGUAGAGGCAGAUUUGUAUCUAGCACCUCAAAUUCAUGCAGCAAUCAAAAGACUCAGUUCCCUUUUCUAUCUACGUUUAAUGAGGCACACAAUGGGCUUCCUGCCUUCCAAGAUGCAAUGCCAAAAAAACAGCUUGAUACACCAGUUAGGCAUGUGGUUGAGGUAAGAGUUGUUCUUCAUGAUUGUAUGGCAUAUAAUUUCUUUGGGUUAGGAAAUUCUCAAAUAUCAGAUAUUUACUACUUGUCUACUUUGAUAAUGCACAUUCAUUCAUCUCAUUUUUAUAACCACUUUUCCGACAGCCUUGAGUCAUUCAUCUCAUUUUUAUUUCAUCUCAUCAAAACACUCUCGUUACUUCAAAAGGUAUUAAAUCAAAACUCUCAUUUUGAUUAAAAAUUUAACACUUUUUAUAUAAAAAAAAAACUCUUGUAGGUCAUUUUGAAUUCAAAACACUAAUUUUCACUCGAAGUUUGUAAGUUUUUACAUCAAAACACUAUAUUUCCUUUGAAGGUACCUUGAAUAAGAUCAUUUUUAACCAAAAACACUCGUUUUCACUCAAAGAUUCUAACUUUUUAUAUGAACACACUCUCGUCCUACAAAGGUAUCUUGAAUAUGGUUAUUUUUAACUCAAAUCUCUCAUUUUCACUCCUAGUUUAUUACUUUUACAUCAAAACACUCUUGUUUCUAUAAAGGUACCUUGAAUAAAAUCAUUUUUAACUCAAAACUCUCAUUUUCACUAUAAGUUUCUAACUUGUUACAUUAAAACACUUUAGACACUUCAAAAGGUACUUUGAAUAAGGUCAUUUUUUUUUUUUUUUUUUUUUGAUAAGUUGAAUAAGGUCAUUUUUAUCUCAAAACUCACUUUCAUCCAAAGUUUCGAACUUUUUACUUUAACACUCUUGUUCUUUUAAACGUACCUUGAAUAAGGUAUUUUUAACCUUAAAUUCUCACUUUCACUUAAAAUUUCUAACGUUUUACAUCAAAACACUAUGGUUUCAUUUUAAUAAGGUCAUUUUAAACUUAAAACUUUCAUUUUCACUCAAAGUGUGUCUCUUUUUUACAUGAAACCAAUCAUUCCUUCAAAAGGUACCUUGAAUAAGGUAAUUUUUAACUCAAAAGUCUCGAUUUUACUCAAAGUUCCUCUCUUUUAAAAUCAAAACAUUCUCUUUCCAUCCAAUGUACCUUGGAUAAGGUCAUUUUUAACCUAAGAAGCACGGACACGGAUACGGAACACGGAUACGACACGACACGGACACGGCGACACGGCAAAUCCAAAAAAAUUAGGACACGGACACGGCGAAUAGUGUAUAUAUAUAUAUAUAUAUAUAUAUAUAUAUAUAUAUAU